GUCUCCUGUCAUAGAGUCGGCAGGCUGGUCCCCUGGGCGGCCCAGCUGGACGUGGCCGAGCCGAAGCCCGGGGGCCGAUGGCGAUGAACUAUAACGCGAAGGAUGAGGUGGAUGGCGGGCCCCCGUGCCCUCCUGGGGGCGCUGCCAAGACCCGGAGGCCGGAUAACACGGCCUUCAAACAGCAACGGCUGCCCGCCUGGCAGCCCAUCCUCACGGCCGGCACGGUGCUGCCUACCUUCUUCAUCAUCGGCCUCAUCUUCAUCCCCAUUGGCAUCGGCAUCUUCGUCACCUCCAACAACAUCCGUGAGAUCGAGAUUGAUUACACUGGAACAGAACCUUCCAGCCCCUGCAAUAAAUGUUUGUCUCCGAAUGUGACAUCUUGUGUUUGUACCAUUAACUUCACACUGGAAGAGUCAUUUGAGGGCAAUGUGUUUAUGUAUUAUGGACUGUCUAAUUUCUAUCAAAAUCAUCGUCGCUAUGUGAAAUCUCGAGAUGAUAGCCAGUUAAAUGGAGACCCUAGUGCUUUGCUUAAUCCAAGUAAGGAAUGUGAACCUUAUCGAAGAAAUGAAGACAAACCAAUUGCUCCAUGUGGAGCUAUUGCCAACAGCAUGUUUAAUGAUACACUAGAAUUGUUUCUGGUUGCCAAUGAAUCUGAUCCCACACCUACGCCAAUUGCUUUGACGAGAAAAGGUAUUGCUUGGUGGACAGAUAAAAAUGUGAAAUUCAGAAAUCCACCUGGAAAAGAAAGCCUUGAAGAAAGAUUUAAAGAUACAACAAAGCCAGUAAACUGGCAUAAACCAGUAUUUAUGCUAGAUCCUGAUGAAGAUAAUAAUGGAUUUAUAAAUGAGGAUUUCAUUGUUUGGAUGCGUACUGCAGCGUUACCUACUUUUCGUAAGUUGUAUCGUCUUAUAGAGCGGAGAAAUGAUUUACAUCCAACAUUACCAGCUGGACAGUACUAUUUGAACAUCACAUACAAUUACCCCGUACAUUCGUUUGAUGGACGAAAACGGAUGAUCUUGAGCACUAUUUCAUGGAUGGGAGGAAAAAAUCCAUUUUUGGGAAUUGCUUACAUCACUAUUGGAUCCAUCUCCUUCCUUCUGGGAGUUGUACUGCUAGUAAUUAAUCAUAAAUAUAGAAACAGUAGUAAUACUGCUGACAUCACCAUUUAAUUUUAUAUUCUGAAAACAAAUCUACUGCAUGUGCAUCAAGGCCAGUCCUGUUCAACCUAGCUUUUGAAUGCUGAUGUCUGGUCAAAUAAAUAUGGAUAUGUAUACACAUUUCCUUUAAUGAAGGUGAUGUUUUGAUUAGUUUUCCUAAGAUAUACCUUAAAAAGAUGUUCUAUACAUUUCCUGCUUAAAUUCAGGGGGAUUUGGAGUAUGUACAUGAUAAAAAAAGAUUAUAAUAUAUCUGAUUGAAGUUACUUUAUUUUCUAACUAGAAUUAUUUUAAUAUUCCUUUAUUGAAUAAAUGCUGUAAUUUGUUUGCUGUGGAAGUUAUUCCUGAAGUGAAUGUAAAUUAUUUUUCCACAUGCAUGAAAAUGUAUUAAUCAGAGUUGACUUCAUUGCAUUGAGAUUACUUCAUUGUUUUUACACUAAAGUAAUUCAUAUUUAUGUAGUAGAAUGCUUGUGUUUUCAGACUUUGUAAUGCUUUCCUUUGGUUAUAUUUUAAAUCAAAAAGUCUGAGUAAUGUUUCAGUUUAGAUUAAGAUGUGCUUAAAAUAACAAAAAUCUCUAUGGUUCAUAGUAGAAAUGUGCCACACUUAAGCUUGUACGAUAUGAAAUUCUGUUAAAAGAGCUUGUAAUUCAUGGUGACUUUUAACUUAUAAAAAUAUUACUUGCA